GCUUAACACAUGCAAGUCGAGCGGGGGAAGGUAGCUUGCUACCGGACCUAGCGGCGGACGGGUGAGUAAUGCUUAGGAAUCUGCCUAUUAGUGGGGGACAACAUCUCGAAAGGGAUGCUAAUACCGCAUACGUCCUACGGGAGAAAGCAGGGGAUCUUCGGACCUUGCGCUAAUAGAUGAGCCUAAGUCGGAUUAGCUAGUUGGUGGGGUAAAGGCCUACCAAGGCGACGAUCUGUAGCGGGUCUGAGAGGAUGAUCCGCCACACUGGGACUGAGACACGGCCCAGACUCCUACGGGAGGCAGCAGUGGGGAAUAUUGGACAAUGGGCGCAAGCCUGAUCCAGCCAUGCCGCGUGUGUGAAGAAGGCCUUAUGGUUGUAAAGCACUUUAAGCGAGGAGGAGGCUACUUUAGAUAAUACCUAGAGAUAGUGGACGUUACUCGCAGAAUAAGCACCGGCUAACUCUGUGCCAGCAGCCGCGGUAAUACAGAGGGUGCAAGCGUUAAUCGGAUUUACUGGGCGUAAAGCGCGCGUAGGCGGCUAAUUAAGUCAAAUGUGAAAUCCCCGAGCUUAACUUGGGAAUUGCAUUCGAUACUGGUUAGCUAGAGUGUGGGAGAGGAUGGUAGAAUUCCAGGUGUAGCGGUGAAAUGCGUAGAGAUCUGGAGGAAUACCGAUGGCGAAGGCAGCCAUCUGGCCUAACACUGACGCUGAGGUGCGAAAGCAUGGGGAGCAAACAGGAUUAGAUACCCUGGUAGUCCAUGCCGUAAACGAUGUCUACUAGCCGUUGGGGCCUUU
rnacentral:rRNA from 1 species